UACGAAGGGGGGCUAGCGUUGCUCGGAAUCACUGGGCGUAAAGCGCACGUAGGCGGAUCUUUAAGUCAGGGGUGAAAUCCUGGAGCUCAACUCCAGAACUGCCUUUGAUACUGAGGAGCUCGAGUCCGGAAGAGGUGAGUGGAACUGCGAGUGUAGAGGUGAAAUUCGUAGAUAUUCGCAAGAACACCAGUGGCGAAGGCGGCUCACUGGUCCGGUACUGACGCUGAGGUGCGAAAGCGUGGGGAGCAAACAGG
rnacentral:rRNA from 1 species